AUGCAUUGCUUUGUUAUGACAGCUGAACCCUCCUGUGAAGCAGACUUACACCGAGCAAAUCCAAAAGUUUAGAUUCUGAGGCAAACUACUUUGUGGUUGUAAGCGGGACUCAUCUAUUAUUUGAAAUAGGCUGCCUGGAGAAAAAAAAAAACGAGUGCGGACAGCAUUUAAGAAAGGAAAGAGUGAGAUUGACCAGUCAUCUGUGAAUCUCCCAUGGUUUAGCUGAUAAUUCAUGAUCGCCCUGCCAUGGACCCGCAGCAUUCAAUAUGAAUUAUAAAAUGGCAAGCCAAGCAUAUCAAUGGAUGACAGACUGGAUGUGUAUGGCCCGGGGCCAGAGAGGAGUUAGAGCACAAUAGCCUCCCCAUUCAGUCAACCCCAGGACUGGAAAUGCCAGUGUGGCACGAGGGAGGCUCUUCCAUCAGCACAAUGUAUGGCACUGCUUGAGACAAAUGUUGAGCUGAGAUGUAUUGUUAACCUUUACAACCUUUUGGGGAGAAACAUAAGCAUGCUGGUAUGUUCAAACCAAGGAAUAUUUCACAAUCUUCCUUCGAGAGAACUGUGCAGUGUGUUAUCCGGAGCAGCGGGGGGGCUCAAAACCAACAGACAAAAAAACAGAGAAGAAAAUCUUUUUUAGGAAUCUUUUGCCUUUUUUCUCAUGCAUGAUUCUGUGUCUACUGACUUGUUUAUUCAAAAAACUGCAUAUUAAUGUCCGUCAUUCGCUCACUCUGCCCAUGCUGGACCUAAACAAACACUGCCUCUUCGCUCUGAUCCCCGUCUCUGCAGAUAGGACACAGACCACUUAAUCUUUUACAUUUCCCUUUUUGUGCAAUAUUUAGAUACGAAGGCCUGCUCUCCUUUUGGCAUUUAAACACAACAGCCAACUAAAAGCGUUGAGACUAGACUUUACGAUAUAAUCCCCCCCCCCUAAAUCUGUCUUUCUUUACUUUAAAGACUCAGAUAGCAGCUCUCAUUCAGUCACAUUAGAUGUGUGCCUGUGCACUUGCCCCACCUUUGUGGCUGCUCCCUUUGAAUCUGUAUCGUCUUCUUCAUAUCUGCAGACUGGGCGGUCUGAAACAUCUAAAACAAAUCUGAUACCUGCAUGACCUAGUUUACUCGAGCAGGAGCGUCAUUUUAUAGACUUGUUAUAUAACGGCACAUGGAUGAAGACGAAAUGGAGUACAUAUAUUGAGAGCAAGAAACCGCAUAUAUGGAGAAUUCAGAAGUGUCUGUAUGGCGUAUACUCAAUUAAAAAUAUUAAAAAGA